GACGAACGCUGGCGGCGUGCUUAACACAUGCAAGUCGAACGGAAAGGCCCUGCUUUUGUGGGGUGCUCGAGUGGCGAACGGGUGAGUAACACGUGAGUAACCUGCCCUUGACUUUGGGAUAACUUCAGGAAACUGGGGCUAAUACAGGAUAGGAGCUCCUGCUGCAUGGUGGGGGUUGGAAAGUUUCGGCGGUUGGGGAUGGACUCGCGGCUUAUCAGCUUGUUGGUGGGGUAGUGGCUUACCAAGGCUUUGACCGGUCGCCGGCCUGAGAGGGUGACCGGCCACAAUGGGACUGAGGUACGGCCCAGACUCCUACGGGAGGCAGCAGUGGGGAAUAUGGCACAGUGGGCGGAAGUCUGAGGCAGCAACGCCGCGUGCGUGAUGACGGCCUUCGGGUUGUAAACCGCUUUCGCCUGUGACGAAGCGUGAGUGACGGUAAUGGGUAAAGAAGCACCGGCUAACUACGUG
rnacentral:rRNA from 1 species